UGCCCCAUGGCUGAGUUGGUUACAGCGUCCGACUGUUAUUCAGAAUAUCGGAAGGUCGAGAGUUCGAGCCUCUCUGGGGCAG
rnacentral:tRNA from 1 species